rnacentral:rRNA from 1 species
AUGGAACUCCCUGAAGGCACACUGCCAUUUGAUGUCCUCCCUCUUGAAGGAGAGCAAGACUGGCGUUUCGGUCGAGCAGCUGGCCCAGGCUCCACAGAGGAAGAUCUAGAACUAGGUGCGCCAGGCCUACCCCGAGUAGCAGAGGUUGGUCUUUCCGGUAGCGACGUCCUCAAAUUUGGAGGUGCAUCAAGUGAGAAGCCAGGCAUUUCAGAUGGUUUCCAUGGUCUUGAUUUGACAGUAGGUGAGCUGCCCCUUGAAGGUGCUGGCGCUGUUGUUGUUGCUGGCAAUGCAGAACUUUUGGGCAUUGUAGGUCCUGGUCUAGAGAUUGAGGAGGAUCGAACUGGUCCGGGCAAGUUACUGUGCUGGGCGUGGGUAGGAGGGGCAGAAGACCGCCUUGUUGGGGUUGAUGACCUUGAUGCAGGCUUGCUUUGUGCUGGUAAGGAGGGCCUUGACAAAGGUGUAGUUGACCUAGUAGCAGGCAUUGAUGAUCUUGAAGUAGGCGUUGAUGAUCUGCUAGCAGGUGCUGAUGCUCUGCCUGAAGGAACUGAUGUCCUGGUAGCAGUAGCAGGGCCAGAUGUCCUGGUAGCAGCAGCAGGGCCAGAUGUCCUGGUAGCAGCAGCAGGGCCAGAUGUCCUGGUAGCAGUAGCAGGGCCAGAUGUCCUUGAUGGAGUUGUUGACCUUGAUGAAGGCAGUGCUGACCUUGUUGAAGGGAGUGUUGACCUGGAAGUGGGCGUCGACGAUCUUGGGGCAGUAGGUGCAGUCUUGGCAGGCAGAGUUGCCCGAGCAUUGGGAGAUGAAGGUCUUGAACCUUUGGAUGUGGCGGUCGAUGCAGCACGUCCAGUUGGUGUUGAAGGUCUUGAAGAAUUAGACGUAAGCCCUCCAGAUGAUGUCGGCCGACGAGUUGUCGCAGCUGAGUUUAAGCUGUUUGAUGAUGUUGUUCUCAAUGGAUGUGUGGUUCUUGAUGGAGGAUCUGGAUGA